CAGUUAUCAGACCCAGUAACUAUCUCAAACGGCACAAGACAGGGGUGCCCUCUCUGUCCCCUCUUAUUUGUUCAUGUCCUGGAACCCUUUCUCCAGGGCAUAGAAGAUAAUCCCAACAUCCAGGGCAUACGAGUGGGUGAAACCGAGCAUAAGAUAUCUGCAUUCGCAGACAACAUGCUGUUCACUGUUUUGAACCCUAUCAAAUCCCUACCCUAUAUUAUGCAGGGAAUUCUAUUAUACAG